rnacentral:rRNA from 1 species
AUUGAACGCUGGCGGCAGGCCUAACACAUGCAAGUCGAACGAGCGGCGGACGGGUGAGUACUGUAUGGGGACUGCCCGAUGGCGGGGGAUAACCACUGGCACCGGUAGCUAAUCCCGCAUCCUAUCGGCUAACCCAUAUUGGAUUAGCUAGUAGGUGAGGUAAUGGCCAACCUAGGCGACGCUCCCUAGCUGGUCUGAGAGGAUGAUCAGCAACACUGGGACUGGAACACGGCCCAGACUCCUACGGAGGCAGCAGUGGGGAAUAUUGGACAAUGGGCGCAGGCCUGAUGUAGCCAUGCCGCGUGUAUGAAGAAGGCCCUAGGGUUGUAAAGUACUUUCAGUCGGGAGGCGUUACCGACAGAAGAAGCACCGGCUAACUCCGUGCCAGCAGCCGCGGUAAUUC